GUCCUUUUGGGGACAUCAGAUAAAAUUGAAACGAUACAUAAAAGAUUAACAUGGCCUCUGCAUAAGGAUGAUACUCAUAAAGCGAGAAAUAUAUUAUAUAGAG